rnacentral:rRNA from 3 species
AAAUUGAAGAGUUUGAUCAUGGCUCAGAUUGAACGCUGGCGGCAGGCCUAACACAUGCAAGUCGAACGGUAACAGGAAGCAGCUUGCUGCUUCGCUGACGAGUGGCGGACGGGUGAGUAAUGUCUGGGAAACUGCCUGAUGGAGGGGGAUAACUACUGGAAACGGUGGCUAAUACCGCAUAACGUCGCAAGACCAAAGAGGGGGACCUUCGGGCCUCUUGCCAUCAGAUGUGCCCAGAUGGGAUUAGCUUGUUGGUGAGGUAACGGCUCACCAAGGCGACGAUCCCUAGCUGGUCUGAGAGGAUGACCAGCCACACUGGAACUGAGACACGGUCCAGACUCCUACGGGAGGCAGCAGUGGGGAAUAUUGCACAAUGGGCGCAAGCCUGAUGCAGCCAUGCCGCGUGUAUGAAGAAGGCCUUCGGGUUGUAAAGUACUUUCAGCGGGGAGGAAGGUGUUGCGGUUAAUAACCGCAGCAAUUGACGUUACCCGCAGAAGAAGCACCGGCUAACUCCGUGCCAGCAGCCGCGGUAAUACGGAGGGUGCAAGCGUUAAUCGGAAUUACUGGGCGUAAAGCGCACGCAGGCGGUCUGUCAAG